rnacentral:sRNA from 1 species
GACUUGGAGGAAGAAGGGUGCUCAUUGCAAGCUGUUGGCUGGAGCCUCACCUGGCCAAGCAGUGUCCUGGAGCAAUGUGGCCCCGUCCUCGGCCUGUGCUCUAAACAUCACAGUGGGCGGGACCGGCAUGUUCACCGUGCGGAUGGCCCUCUUCCAGAACCCUUCCUACACGCAGCCCUACCAAGGCUCCUCCGUGACGCUGUCCACUGAGGCUUUUCUCUACGUGGGCACCAUGUUGGAUGGGGGCGACCUGUCCCGAUUUGCACUGCUCAUGACCAACUGCUAUGCCACACCCAGUGGCAAUGCCACGGACCCCCUGAAGUACUUCAUCAUCCAGGACAGAUGCCCACACACUAGAGACUCAACUAUCCAAGUGGUGGAGAAUGGGGAGUCCUCCCAGGGCCGAUUUUCCGUCCAGAUGUUCCGGUUUGCUGGAAACUAUGACCUAGUCUACCUGCACUGUGAAGUCUAUCUCUGUGACACCAUGAAUGAAAAGUGCAAGCCUACCUGCUCUGGGACCAGAUUCCGAAGUGGGAGUGUCAUAGAUCAAUCCCGUGUCCUGAACUUGGGUCCCAUCACACGGAAAGGUGUCCAGGCCACAGUCUCAAGGGCUGCUUUUAGCAGCUUGGGGCUCCUGAAAGUCUGGCUGCCUCUGCUUCUCUCGGC